rnacentral:rRNA from 1 species
AUUGAACGCUGGCGGCAUGCUUUACACAUGCAAGUCGAGCGGAGAUGAGGUGCUUGCACCUUAUCUUAGCGGCGGACGGGUGAGUAAUGCUUAGGAAUCUGCCUAUUAGUGGGGGACAACAUUCCGAAAGGAAUGCUAAUACCGCAUACGCCCUACGGGGGAAAGCAGGGGAUCUUCGGACCUUGCGCUAAUAGAUGAGCCUAAGUCGGAUUAGCUAGUUGGUGGGGUAAAGGCCUACCAAGGCGACGAUCUGUAGCGGGUCUGAGAGGAUGAUCCGCCACACUGGGACUGAGACACGGCCCAGACUCCUACGGGAGGUAGCAGUGGGGAAUAUUGGACAAUGGGCGGAAGCCUGAUCCAGCCAUGCCGCGUGUGUGAAGAAGGCCUUUUGGUUGUAAAGCACUUUAAGCGAGGAGGAGGCUACCUGGAUUAAUACUCUAGGAUAGUGGACGUUACUCGCAGAAUAAGCACCGGCUAACUCUGUGCCAGCCGCCGCAGUAAGAC